rnacentral:rRNA from 1 species
AGCAGUGGGGAAUUUUGGACAAUGGGCGCAAGCCUGAUCCAGCAAUGCCGCGUGAGUGAGGAAGGCCUUCGGGUUGUAAAGCUCUUUUGUCAGGGAAGAAACGGUGAGGGCUAAUAUCUCUUGCUAAUGACGGUACCUGAAGAAUAAGCACCGGCUAACUACGUGCCAGCAGCCGCGGUAAUACGUAGGGUGCAAGCGUUAAUCGGAAUUACUGGGCGUAAAGCGUGCGCAGGCGGUUUUGUAAGUUUGUCGUGAAAGCCCCGGGCUCAACCUGGGAAUUGCGAUGAAGACUGCAAGGCUUGAAUCUGGCAGAGGGGGGUAGAAUUCCACGUGUAGCAGUGAAAUGCGUAGAGAUGUGGAGGAACACCGAUGGCGAAGGCAGCCCCCUGGGUCAAGAUUGACGCUCAUG